UUCAGAUACCCGUCCCUGCCA
rnacentral:piRNA from 1 species